rnacentral:tRNA from 1 species
CUAGACAGGUGGGCCUCGAUCCCACAAAAACUCAGUUAACAGCCAAACACCCAAUCCAGUGGGCUUCUGUCCG